rnacentral:lncRNA from 1 species
CAGGGAGUUAGGAUGGUGAGGCAUCAGGAUAUUAUGUCAGUUGAAGAAUGGUUUAAAACACUGAGAAAUUGACCUUGGAGAAGAAAAAAACAUUAGAGGAUGUGAUAAAAUCUUUCGUGGAAGACCAGUUAGAUUUAUUCUUUGUGUCUUUAGAAGGCUUCACAACAGAUGGAAGUUACAGAAGAAGACCAAUUUGGGAUUGAUAGCAGGAAAACCUCUUUCUAAAUACAGGCAUCUGCACAUAAAAAGAUAGCCCACCCUACAGGUUUCUUACUUCCUGGUCACAAAAUGGCUGCCGAAGUCCAUAAGCUAAAUCCUAAUGUGAGUGAACAUGAUCAAGGAUUCAUGACUACAACCCCAAAAUACGGCACUUCUGCCUGUGUGGAAACAACAGAAGCAGGAAGAUUACUCUCAUUUUUCUCUGGCCUUUUUCCCUUGAAGCAGACUAUAAAGAAGAAUCUGACCUUCCUCUGAAGGAAACCUUCAUUCCAGACAUACCCUCCCUAUAUCCAAAGAACAUCUUUAUCUUUAAAGACACAGAGAUGUCAAGAAGAAUCUGAACAAACAGGCUUUGCCAGAUCCCCCAGUUUACUAAUAUUGAACCAUACUCUUUUGUUCUUCAAUCAUACUUCUGCAUGAUGUCCAUAAAAAUACACAGUUUUCCCCAUUCCUUUUGGGUAUUUAUUCCCGAAAGCUUCUGUGUCAUGUAAAACUUACAUUAAAUAAAUUUGUAUGCUUUUCCUUG